rnacentral:misc_RNA from 1 species
GAUGAAGAACGUAGCGAAAUGCGAUAAGUAAUGUGAAUUGCAGAAUUCAGUGAAUCAUCGAAUCUUUGAACGCACCUUGCGCCCUUUGGCUAUUCCGAAGGGCAUGCCUGUUUGAGUAUCGUGAACACCUCAACUCUCAUGGUUUGCCAUGAUGAGCUUGGACUUUGGGGGUUUUGCUGGCCUUUGGGCGGCUCCUCUCAAACGGAUCAGCUUUCCAGUGUUUGGUGGCGUCACGGGUGUGAUAACUAUCUACGCCUGUGGUUUUCUGCCAGAUAACCUUCAGCGAUGGAGGUUCGCUGGGGCUCAUAAAUGUCUCUCUUCAGUGGAGACAGCUUUUUGGACGUUUGAUCUCAAAUCAGGUAGGACUACCCGCUGAACUUAAGCAUAUCAAUAAGCGGAGGA